CAUGCAGUCGACGGUAACAGGUCUUCGGAUGCUGACGAGUGGCGAACGGGUGAGUAUAUACAUCGGAACGUGCCCGAUCGUGGGGGAUAACGAGGCGAAAGCUUUGCUAAUACCGCAUACGAUCUACGGAUGAUAGCGGGGGAUCUUCGGACCUCGCGCGGACGGAGCGGCCGAUGGCAGAUUAGGUAGUUGGUGGGAUAAAAGCUUACCAAGCCGACGAUCUGUAGCUGGUCUGAGAGGAUGAUCAGCCACACUGGGACUGAGACACGGCCCAGACUCCUACGGGAGGCAGCAGUGGGGAAUUUUGGACAAUGGGCGAAAGCCCUGAUCCCAGCCCAUGCCCGCGUGCAGGAUGAAAGGCCUUUCGGGGUUGUAAAACUGCUUUUUGUACGGGA
rnacentral:rRNA from 1 species